rnacentral:rRNA from 1 species
GAUCAUGGCUCAGGACGAACGCUGGCGGCGUGCCUAACACAUGCAAGUUGAGCGACGAACCGGGGCUUGCCCCGGGGCAAAGCAGCGAACGGGUGAGUAACACGUGGAUAACGUACCCCGAUAACUGGGACAACUCGAGGAAACUCGAGCUAAUACCGGAUGUGCCCUUCACACAUCAGUGUGACGAGUAAAGGAAGCUUCGGCCUCCGUAUCGGGAGCGGUCCGCGGCCCAUUAGCUAGUUGGUGAGGUAACGG